rnacentral:rRNA from 1 species
AGUGAACGCUGGCGGUAGGCCUAACACAUGCAAGUCGAACGGCAGCACAGGAGAGCUUGCUCUCUGGGUGGCGAGUGGCGGACGGGUGAGGAAUACAUCGGAAUCUACUCUGUCGUGGGGGAUUACGUAGGGAAACUUACGCUAAUACCGCAUACGACCUACGGGUGAAAGCAGGGGAUCUUCGGACCUUGCGCGAUUGAAUGAGCCGAUGUCGGAUUAGCUAGUUGGCGGGAUAAAGGCCCACCAAGGCGACGAUCCGUAGCUGGUCUGAGAGGAUGAUCAGCCACACUGGAACUGAGACACGGUCCAGACUCCUACGGGAGGCAGCAGUGGGGAAUAUUGGACAAUGGGCGCAAGCCUGAUCCAGCCAUACCGCGUGGGUGAAGAAGGCCUUCGGGUUGUAAAGCCCUUUUGUUGGGAAAGAAAUCCAGCUGGCUAAUACCCGGUUGGGAUGACGGUACCCAAAGAAUAAGCACCGGCUAACUUCGUGCCAGCAGCCGCCGUAA